AGAGUCAGUUUCUUCAUGCUUGGUCUUGGUCGGCUCCUCUCUGAGGGUGUUCUCCGGGAGAGUCCCUCGGUCUCUGCGGUGACUCUGAUGGAGAGACGGGGAUCGCUGAGGGCCCUGGGGAUGGACGUGGAGGACAGCGCGUCACUGCGCUGGGCACGGGUGAAGAACCGAGGCGAGGAGAGAGGCGUCGCUCGUGAAGUGAAAGUCUUGAGCCGGACCGCGGCAGCGCGCUGCUCUGAUGUGAAGAGGGAGCAGGUGGCUCUGGAAGGAGUUUUGCUGAAGGUUAGAACGUCCACAGGCUACUUGAGGGAAGACACGUGCCACCAAAGGACUUAAACAUCCAAAGAGCCAGUGUCUUCAGCUGUUCUGUGAGUCCAGCAGGGAAUCUCAUAAACAAGAGGGAACCCCGCCCCCGUCGAAGGUCCUACCCUGAAGGGCAGAAGGAGAGGACAAGACAGGCUCGGUUUCUCCACAUAAAAGCCCCCAGGUGACCUAUGGUUCCAGCCAAGCCUUUAAAGAAAUGGAUGACAAUCAAAAGGACAAAUGUGACGGGUCUCCUGUGUGCACUACAACAUGAAUGCGAAGCGGCCCCACCGGUUCUGUGAUGUCUUUGACCUGCUAGUUCAAAGCUGCUUCUGGACCUUUGGACCCCUCUCAGUCAGUGUGUGUUUGUGCACGUGUGUGCGUGUGUUUGUGUUUGUGUAUGUGUGUUUGUUCUCCUCAGACAAAAGCUUUGUUCAUAAUAAAGUAAACCAACCACAUUG